rnacentral:rRNA from 1 species
UCAAGCUACUAAGGGCAUACGGUGGAUGCCUAGGCGCCAGGAGCCGAAGAAGGACGCGGUAAGCUGCGAAAAGCCACGGGGAACUGCAAGCGAGUAUUGAUCCGUGGAUAUCCGAAUGGGGAAACCCGGCCAUCGUAAUGGAUGGUCAUCCGCAAGGAAGGGAACCCGGGGAACUGAAACAUCUAAGUACCCGGAGGAAAAGAAAUCAAACGAGAUGCCCACAGUAGCGGCGAGCGAAGAGGGCAGAGCCCAAACCUGUAAGCUACGGCUUAUGGGGGUUGAGGACUGACGAAAUUAAGGCCAGGCUUAGCUGAACUACCUGGGAAGGUAGGCGAUAGAAGGUAAGAGCCCUGUAAGCGAAAGGCAGAGCCUUAAGGUCAGUAUCCAGAGUACCACGGAGCACGAGGAAUUCUGUGGGAAGCAGGGGGGACCACCCUCCAAGGCUAAAGACUAACUGGCGACCGAUAGCGCAUAGUACCGUGAGGGAAAGGUGAAAAGAACCCCGGGAGGGGAGUGAAAUAGUACCUGAAACCGUAUGUCUACAAGCAGUCGGAGCGAAAGCGACGGCGUGCCUAUUGAAGAAUGAACCAACGAGUUAUCUGCACUAGCGAGGUUAAGUGGAAGACACGGAGCCGUAGCGAAAGCGAGUCUGAAAAGGGCGGCGAGUUAGUGUAGGUAGACCCGAAACCGCAGUGAUCUACCCAUGUCCAGGUUGAAGCGCAGGUAAAAAUGCGUGGAGGACCGAACCGGUGAGCGUUGAAAAGCUUUCGGAUGAGAUGUGGGUAGGGGUGAAAUUCCAAUCGAACGCGGAGAUAGCUGGUUCUCCCCGAAAUAGCUUUAGGGCUAGCCUCAGGUAGUAAGUAUAGGCGGUAGAGCACUGAUCGGGCUAGGGGCCAUAAAGGUUACCGAACCCUGUCAAACUCCGAAUGGAUAUACUGCAGAGCCUGGGAGUCAGACUACGAGUGAUAAGAUCCGUGGUCAAAAGGGAAACAGCCCAGACCACCGGCUAAGGUCCCAAAUGCCGUACUAAGUGGAAAAGGAUGUGGGGAUUCAUAAACAACCAGGAUGUUGGCUCAGAAGCAGCCACCAUUUAAAGAGUGCGUAAUAGCUCACUGGUCGAGAGUCCCUGCGCCGAAAAUUUCCGGGGCUAAAGUACGGAACCGAAGCCGUGGCUGUGCAUGUAAGUGCACGGGGUAGGGGAGCGUUGCCACAGGGGUGAAGCUGGUCUGGAAGGACUGGUGGACUUGUGGGAAGUGAGAAUGUUGGUAUGAGUAGCGAAAAGAAAGGUGAGAAUCCUUUCCACCGAAAGCAUAAGGAUUCCUGAGCAACGAUCGUCGUCUCAGGGUAAGUCGGGACCUAAUCCGAGGCAAAGAGCGUAGGAGAUGGACAACAGGUUGAUAUUCCUGUACCGGCAGCAAUUGUUUGAGCGAAGGAGUGACACAGAAGGGCAGGCAGGCGCGAGACUGGAUUGUCGCGUGCAAGCGUGUAGGGUAGUGUACAGGCAAAUCCGUACACUGAGAACCUGAGGCGUUACGCGGAGCGAGCAGAGAUGCGAGCGAAGCUGCUGAUCCCACACUGUCGAGAAAAGCUUCUAGUGAGAGAGCUGCCGCCCGUACCGUAAACCGACACAGGUAUGCGGGGAGAGAAUCCUAAGGUGCGCGGGAGAACCCUCGUUAAGGAACUCGGCAAAAUGUACCCGUAACUUCGGGAUAAGGGUAGCCGUCUUGGUGAAGGAACUAGCUUCUGGAGCUGAAGGCGGUCGCAGAGAAGAGGCCCAAGCGACUGUUUACCACAAACACAGGUGCCUGCUAAAGCGAAAGCUGACGUAUAGGUGCUGACACCUGCCCAGUGCUGGAAGGUUAAGGAAGGAUGUCCGGGCAACCAAAGCAUUCGACCGAAGCCCCAGUGAACGGCGGCCGUAACUAUAACGGUCCUAAGGUAGCGAAAUUCCUUGUCGGGUAAGUUCCGACCCGCACGAAAGGUGUAACGAUUUGGGCACUGUCUCAACGAGGGACCCGGUGAAAUUGAAAUACCUGUGAAGAUGCAGGUUACCCGCGACUGGACAGAAAGACCCCAUGGAGCUUUACUGUAACCUGACAUUGGGUUUUGUUGUAUUACGUACAGGAUAGGUGGGAGGCUUGGAAGGCUGGACGCUAGUCUGGCUGGAGCCGGCGUUGGGAUACCACCCUUGAUACAACGGAAUUCUAACCGAGAGAGUAACGAAAUCCGGGACAGUGUCAGGCGGGCAGUUUGACUGGGGCGGUCGCCUCCGAAAG